AGCAGUGGUGGCUCAACGGUUAAGGCUGUGGUUUAUUGAUUAGAAGGUCAGGGGUUCAAGCCCCAUCACUGCUA